ensembl:lncRNA
UGCACACACCUCCACAUUCCACCUCACUUUCUCUUCCUCCGACUCUCUUCUUCACUCUAUCCCUCCCUCUGUCUCUUCCUCAUUCUGUCCCUCCCUCUGCCUCCUCCUCAUUCUGUCCCUCUUUCUCUCUCUCACACUCCCUCCCUCUGUGUCUGUCUGAUUCUGUCCCUCAUUCUUUCUCUCACCCUCUCUGUCUUUGUCUUUCUCUGCCUCUGUCUCUCUCUCUGUCUCUCUCGCUGUGCAUGUUGCUUAGCCGCUGUGCUAACUGUCCAUAGCGAAGACAGGUUGUGUCAUUAGGACUUCACUUCUUGAGCCUGUGCCAGAGCCAGUGCCCACACCAACACUAGCCUGCUCACACUUGGGCCCAAACUGGGGCCUACGUCUGGCCCUGCUGCUGGGACCAACGCUACAUGAUGCUCACUACGUUUUCAGUCUCCGUUACAGCUGAAAACUGAAGCGCUUCAAUGGCCAAUGUGUUCUGACGACCGUGUUUAUUUAUUGUGUUUGUGUCUGUCUUGACUUUUUUUUAAUUUUUUUAUUAUUUGAUUUGCUUUGAUGUGGUUGUUACCGCUGAGGUCUUAUUGGAGAACAACACUGACCGUGGUUACAUGGAUUCGAAUAACUGCCUUAGUCGGACUGAAAUCGCAUUAUCCGUUUCAUGUAAGCACCUUAGUCGGAUCGUAGUCGGACUGCACAUAGUCGGACUAACACCCCUGGAUAACUCGAUCCGAUCCAGUUGAUAGUUCGACUAUUGCGGCAUGUAACGGUGAAUUGGAUAAGGAACUGGACUUUGCGUCUUUGCGCAUGCUCCCUCUCUCCCUGCCAGGUCGUGACCCGGAAGACGAAAGAGGGAUGAGUUGUCUCAACUGUUCAUACCAAUGACACGGUUUUUUAUGAAUAUCCUGCAGACUGUCUCACAAGCUUAUUCUUGUUGAUUAUGAACAAACAUAACAGAAGAGGUCCGAAGAUAUGAGCACCUUUACAACCCCUCCUUAAACACGUAUAAGGACGUUCCACAUUGUAUUUGCUUAAAACAACAGCAGUACUGUCAAAUCAGUUGUCACUCGGCUAUUACCUGACCAAGGUUCCAUGGCAAUGUUCCGAAAGCCCAUUUUUCCGACAGCCCGCUGUUCCGAAAUUGUGAGUAGAGCAACGUGAACCACUAUAGCCCACAUGCACAUCCCAAUGAAUCACACAAUCAUAAACAUAUAAAUGCCUUUAUUUCACAAGCAUUAACUUGAAUUCAGAAUAUUAUUAUACACACAUGCAUUUGCAUCGCGAUGAUACAAAAAUAUUUGUAUGAUUGCCAACGCAUGCAUGCUUUGUCAGUGCUUGACAAGAUCUGCGUAAUGUCCUGUGACAAUCUGCCGGUGAUUUCCUUCGCAUGAGUGGUAGCCUACCCCAUAUUCAAAACCAGAGUAGGCUAAGUUAACAAAUAUUGCCUAGGAAAAGUUAUAUGCGUGAUAGCCCGGUGAGCGUCUCCGCUCUGCUGUGCAAACGAAAUGCUGUGUGUGUUUUGUGCCACUUAAAAUAUUUCUAAAUUUUGCCAGGGGGACUAUUUUUCGGAAUAAUGAGAUUUCGGAAUAUCGGGCUUUCGGAACACUGGGCCGUCUCCCCUGACCAAUACCUGUCAAACUCGGUGAUACUAUUCACAACUAAUUUGUCCUUCAUUCUAUCAAAUAUGAUGAAAUUUGGUAUUGUGCCAGCGAGGCACGCGUGAGUUUAGUUUUGUUCAGUUAUCUGGCGCUGAAAAGAACCACGAAUAAGUACUGUCAAAUCAGUUAGCCUAUUAUGUAUUGUAUUAAUUGCACCUAGUUCCAGUGGCGCAUGCAUGCAACUAAUGCCCAGCGUUGACGAUGCAGAUACAGAGCUGGAAACAGCUAAAUGAGUUACGCAGUGAACUUUAUCAAGCCCUGGAAAGUUCGGCAAAUUUCUACCCAAACAUUCAUUGCGUCCUGAAGGUCUUGUAUCUAUCUACGAAAAGACUGACUGGACUUGCUCUCAUGAAUAUUCACACAGAUUUGGAAAUCGACAGCGAAGAAGUAAUAAAACAAUUUGAUGCAACUGGCAGAAGGGCAAUGCGUUUAGGCUGUAACCCAUUAUUUGCGCGCGUGUGUGAAUGUGCGUGCGUUUCUCUCGCCUUUUAUCUUUCACCUUUGAAUAAUGUAACUUAUAAACACAUCUGCCCGGCAGAAACAAACAAACAAACAAACAAACAACCCAAGAGGCAACACGCAUUUCUGGACCGAUGAACAGACGCGAUUCAUGCUCAAUCAACUGUUGUUGUUAUUGGUAGUGGUGAAGAGGUCAAGCGGAAAGGGCUGUAUCACCACUAGUUGUAAUGAAAACAGCGCCACCUAUCGUAUCGGAUAUGACAUGCUUUCGGCCAAUGAUUUGAUUUAUUCACUGCCAUCUAUAUUGGGAUAAUAGCACUUGCCCCAAAAGAUAGCAUAGUCCGACUAAGCAAAGAUUCGAAUUAUACCAUCAUGUAAACACACUGACUGGCUGCUGCACAAUUUUCUAGAAUGUUCUACAUCUACAUUCACUGGAAUGAACUCAAACACUGAGCCAGAUAUAGUGGAUUCCUCUUGAAGCUUUUACGGUGUUGUUCCAGACAGUAUAUGCUCAUUUGGGUUGUCGUUACUUUUUUUACCUUUGAUAAAGUCAAUGUCUCUUUAAGACUGUGUUCAGUUCGUCGCCAUAAUGAUAAUGAUGUCAAAUUGAUUAAACGACAAGUCUCACUAAAGCCGGGGAGUCAGAGCUCCGCCUUCACACAACGUUGUAGUGUAAUUUGCCAAGUUGGAAAUAUCCCAGUGGUCCCGAACGCGGCAUUAUAGGUCAAGCUAGACGCUAUGUUAAACUCACGACUGUGGAACGCCAGCAUGCUGUAAAAAAAAAAACACGCUCUGGCGACGUUAGGCCGUCUCUGAGCCUUCUUCGCUUGUUUACCCUGAACCAAUGUGGGGUUUUCUUAACGGUGAUAUAGCGGGAUCUCUGUUUAAAAAGUGUCACCCCUCCUCUAUUGCUUCAGUCUGGCUGAAGGUAUUGGGGAGACUGUGUAAUGGAGGGUUUUGUCCAGAAAAGAACGGCAAGAAGAGGGAUUCCACAUGGAGUGUGACGAUCAGAGUUGGAGUCUUGGGUUGGAUUUGUGUGGGAGAUGAGAGUCUGGUCAAGUGCUCGACCACCAAAGACGGCACUGCUUGUUUUUUUUGGCCUGUGCUGACAUCACUGUGCUGCAUGACCUCUAGUGACCUG